rnacentral:rRNA from 1 species
GGCGAGUUUGAUCAUGGCUCAGGACGAACGCUGGCGGCAUGCCUAAUACAUGCAAGUCGGGCGAAUGACGAAGAAGCUUGCUUCUUCUGAUUUAGCGGCGGACGGGUGAGUAACACGUGGGCAACCUGCCCUGUAGAUUGGGAUAACUCCGGGAAACCGGGGCUAAUACCGAAUAAUCCAUUUCCUCUCAUGGGGAGAUGUUAAAAGACGGCAUCUCGCUGUCACUACAGGAUGGGCCCGCGGCGCAUUAGCUAGUUGGUGAGGUAACGGCUCACCAAGGCGACGAUGCGUAGCCGACCUGAGAGGGUGAUCGGCCACACUGGGACUGAGACACGGCCCAGACUCCUACGGGAGGCAGCAGUAGGGAAUCUUCCACAAUGGACGAAAGUCUGAUGGAGCAAUGCCGCGUGAGUGAAGAAGGUUUUCGGAUCGUAAAACUCUGUUGUGAGGGAAGAACAAGUACGAGAGUAACUGCUCGUACCUUGACGGUACCUCAUUAGAAAGCCACGGCUAACUACGUGCCAGCAGCCGCGGUAAUAAGU